AUUGAAGUGAGAUGCCACGAGGUCAAGCAGCUCCUUGGCCAAAAGCUUGGGCUGGAGGGAGAACAAAAUGGAAAAAGGGUGAGGACACAGUGAGAAGGCUGCCAUCUGCAAGUCAGGAAGAGAGCCCUCAUAGAGCCCGACCAGGCUGGCACCCAGACCUCGAACUUGCAGCCUCCAGAACUUCACGUGAAGUCAAGUCUGGUGAAUGGUGACAGAGGUGGCGGAGGUGAGGAGCACAUUGGAUCAAGUUGGUUUUAUAAAAUGAGGUACUUUGAACUUGGUUAAUGUGAGUCUUCCCCCGAGGAUGAACAAUCGGGUUUCUGCACUGCAGAGCUAGGGGACUGACUUGACAUGCUGAAAAAUUCACCAGAAUAAUGGAUGGCACCUUAGGAGCCUUGUUGACACUGACUUUUGGUUUCUCCAUGGUGACACAUCCCUAUGAUUUAGCCUGUCACCGCAAUCCUUUUUUACAUUGGAAUUUCUACAGUAAAAAACCAAAUUUUCUUGGGGACGCAUACACUGAACGCAGCUAAAAGGAACUGAGCAAUAGCAGCAUCCCUCAAAUAAACUUUAUCAUCUCAGCCUAACUCUUUUCAAGGAUAGGAUCCGUUUGGAUGCAUAUCUUUGGUCAAAAAAUUAAAAAAGGUGGGCUUGCCUGGUGGCGUAGUGGU